rnacentral:rRNA from 1 species
AACGAACGCUGGCGGCAGGCUUAACACAUGCAAGUCGAGCGGGCGCCUUCGGGCGUCAGCGGCAGACGGGUGAGUAACGCGUGGGAACGUACCUUUCGGUUCGGGACAACCCGGGGAAACUCGGGCUAAUACCGGAUACGCCCUCCUUUGGAGACAUUGGUGGGGAAAGAUUUAUUGCCGAAAGAUCGGCCCGCGUCGGAUUAGCUAGUUGGUGAGGUAACGGCCCACCAAGGCGACGAUCCGUAGCUGGUCNGAGAGGAUGAUCAGCCACACUGGGACUGAGGCACGGCCCAGACUCCUACGGGAGGCAGCAGUGGGGAAUAUUGGACAAUGGGCGCAAGCCUGAUCCAGCCAUGCCGCGUGAGUGAAGAAGGCCUUAGGGUUGUAAAGCUCUUUCAGCGGGGAAGAUAAUGACGGCACCCGCAGAAGAAGCCCCGGCUAACUUCGUGCCAGCAGCCG